rnacentral:rRNA from 1 species
UACGUAGGGUGCGAGCGUUGUCCGGAAUUACUGGGCGUAAAGAGCUCGUAGGUGGUUUGUCGCGUUGUUCGUGAAAUCUCACGGCUUAACUGUGAGCGUGCGGGCGAUACGGGCAGACUAGAGUACUGCAGGGGAGACUGGAAUUCCUGGUGUAGCGGUGGAAUGCGCAGAUAUCAGGAGGAACACCGGUGGCGAAGGCGGCAUCCUGGACCGGUAUUGACACUGAAAAGCGAAAGCCAGGGGAGCAAACGGG